CCUCCCCAAGAGCCGAGUUUGCGCUCCUCCCGGAAUCGUUUGAGAGAAGGACAAACUUUUGAGAGGAUGGAAAUCUAGAUGAGCCUGUCCGGAGCAGUUUGAGUCAGAGACCCAUUUCCUUGAGAUGGAGCCAAGCGAGUGCCCCCUCCCGCCUCCAGCACAGUCUCCCGCUCUUCUCCAGUUCCCAAAGGAGGGCAAGGAAAAGGCCCCUACUCUCCUCCCAGGGCUGAGAUUUCCUCCCCCACCCAAGAGAUGCCCCAGGAGGAAGGAAUGGAGAGGUUCUUCAAAGGGCAGUCAAGAGCAGAGGGAUUGAUGGACUGACAGCAGUUUGGCAAGGCUUCCCUAAGCCUGUAAUAGGGAGCUGUGGACCCAGUCCUGACUUCUCAAGUAGGGGGAAACAGCUCUAUUCCCGGGCCCUUGAGAUUGAGUCUCAAGUUGACAGGAGUUGAGAAAGAAAUGCAUGAAGGAUGGCUGGGCUUACGCAGGACAAAAACCUCUACUGGGGAGGGGCCAGUUUUGUGCCUUGUGCCUACUGCUGAGAGGGAAUUUAGAAACAAAGGAAGAUAAGAAGAAGGCCUAGGGAAACAGCAUAAAGGACUGGAAAAAUUCAGAACAGCAAAGAGAAAAAACUGGGAGAGAGGAAAAGAUGUGAAAAGGCCCUAAUGCUGGAGACAGAAAGGUAUUCUGGAAGGGUGGCUGGGAUAGAGAUAACAUGAAAGGAAUAUUGAUAAAGAGCAGAAGGAAGAAGCAGGACUAGGUUUGUUUGGGUUUUUAAGAUUAGAGAUAGUCUGGGGCCUGUUAAAAUAGAAAAUAGAAGAAAAAAGAUUAGAGAAAAGACAGAAAGGAAAAGAAAAGAAAAACAGGGAGAGAAACAGAAAGCAAAUGAAAGGAGAGAGCUAGAGAGUAAAAGAAAAAGGAAGGGAAAGAAAGGGAGGUAAAAGUGAGAAAAAAGAAAUGGAAGGGAGACAGAAAGACAGGUAGAAAAGGAGGAAAGACAGGGACAAGGGAAAGAAGCAAGGACAGGAGAAGGAAUGGAAGAAAAAGAGAAAGUGAAGGUAGGGCAGAAAUGAAGCAAAAGAAGGAAGGAAAAAUGAGAAAUGAAGAUACAGUGAGAUAAAGAAGGAAUAAGGGGAGUGAGGGGAAGGCGGGUAGAGAGAGAGAGAAAGAGAAACACGAACUCAACUAAGGUUAACGGUUAACAGAAAGGGGAUCCCGGUUCCUGAGGAGCACAGGGAGGAAAGAGGAGAUGGAGGGUGAGCAGAAAGGCCAGUUGGGGCCCCUCCCCGCCUCACCUUGGGCUGCGGAGGCCCUCACCACCACCACUCCGCCGUCUCUAGGGCCCAGACCUGGGUGAUGGCUGCCUGUGAACCGUGGGAGGUAGAGGCAGGGGCUGGCUGCCUGCAUACGGGCUUCUCUUCUCGAAGCAGCUGAGCGAGCUGGAGUUCUUCCUGCAGCCCUACCGGCCCCCGACACAGCACGCCAAGCUGGACACAUGGCGUUGAGGCUGUAUGACAUGCAGGUCCAGAUCUGGUUCCAAAAGGCGUGCAUGAAGUACAAGAGGCCAGUGAGGCAGGAAUUGUUCGUGGAUUCCCACCCUGGCGGCCCCUCUCCCGGGCUCAAUCCUCUCACCCAGGCUCAAUCCUCUCACUCGCAGCCCCAAGUGGCUCCAUUCCCACCCUACUGGCAGAGGCUGUCUGAAGACUGGGCAGCUUUGUUCCGGGCUCGGGGGUGCUCUGGUUCUGUGACCUUGGGCCUGUUUGAUCAUUUGUUGUUGUUGUUGUUGUUUGUUGUUUGUUGGUUUUUUUGGUUUGUUUGUUUGUUCGUUUUUAGAUGGAGUCUCACCCUGUCGCCCAGGCUGGAAUGCAGUAGCACGAUCUCAGCUCACUGCAGCCUUUACAUCGCCGGUUCAAGCCAUUCUCGUGCCUCAGCCUCCUGAGUAGCUGGGAUUACAGGCAUGUGCCACCACGCCCAGCUAAUUUUUGUAUUUUAAGUAGAGACGGGGUUUCGCCAUAUUGGCCAGGCUGGUCUCGAACUCCUGACCUCAAGUGAUCCGCCCACCUCAGCCUCCCAAAGUGCUGGGAUUACAGGCGUAAGCCACUGUGCCCGGCGAUCAUUUGUUAAAUGAGCCCUUUGCACUGGAGGGUUUUUCUGUACUUUUGGUUAGCCUGCCUGAGUAUGUGCAAAUGAGACAGGGAUGAAGACAAGACCUAGUCCACUUUGCAAGGGUGGGAGGGGAGUGUGAGGGUGUAGGGGUUGGGAGGAUGGGAGGCUGGGAGUGAGAUCUUCAUUUUCUUCCAUUGGUGAGAAGAAAAAUCUUCCUCCUUUGCUAUCCUUAUCUCCAACCCUGCCCCAGAAAACCACCUUUCAGGUCAAGGAGUUUCUCCAUGCCAGGAGGGUUUGGAUUCAUCUGCAAAGAGCUUGGGAGGAGGUUUGCAAAUCCAGGAAAAGCCAGAGAAAGGAUCUCAUACAUGAAAGGGAAGGAAGACAUUCCCUACCCAGAACACCCCUGAUUAGCCAGGCCCACCGCCAUCCACAUCUGCUCAGCAAAGAAGGAAGGCAGCUUGUUCCAGACCUUGGUGAGCAGCUGCAGACUGCCUGCCUAGAACAGCCUCCUUACUCCAGCCUGGCAGGGAAGGAAGGAACCUGACUUGCUUCGCAGGAUCUGGAAGCUCAGCCGGCAGAGCUGAGAGCCGCAGUUGCAUCCUGGAGCCUGAUGCUAGAAGCAGCUUCCGUCUUUGGGUUCUUGCUGCCUCGGCCUCUGCUCUGUUCAGUUUGCUGUUGUGUUUUUCUCCCCCAUGUUGGGGUGGUGGGGUACAGGGAAAUAAAAUGUUUUCUCCCAGGCCCCUAAUCCUUCCCCAUGCCUCCAUCAGCCUCAAAGCUGCUGACAGUCAUGAACUGCACCUUCCAGCCCUGCCCAUAAGCUACUCAAAGCAAAUUCAAAUUCUCUUCUGGCCAGGAGGAAGGGCAGAUGCUCCCUCCUUCCUCAAGCCUCCCUGGCUCAUUGAUCCAUUUUGAGGGCAUUUGGGGGUCAAAGUUGAGACCAGAUUGCUUCAGUUUGUAUAAAAUUAGCAUUUCUUAUCAUACCAAGGCCACACCUGUUCUCUGGCCUCACAAACCAGUGAGGAUGUAAAGGUUUGUUGAGGUGGAGGAACAGAAGUGAAAUGAGCAAUCUGCUCCAUUUAGAAGGCAGUCGCUUCAGCUGUUCAUUCCACUAAUAUUUAUCUAGUACCUACUCUGUGCCAAGCAUUGUCUCUACCUCAGUUUGCCACAAAUAUGAAAAAAAAAAAUUCUUGGAACUGUGAGGCUUCAAUGUGUUGUGGACCAAUAUACAAAUAAACCAAUGGAAAAGAAA